GAUGAACGCUGGCGGCGUGCCUAAGACAUGCAAGUCGAGCGGUAAGGCCACUUCGGUGGUACACGAGCGGCGGACGGCUGAGUAACACGUAGGAACGUACCCCAAAGUGAGGGAUAAGCACCAGAAAUGGUGUCUAAUACCGCAUGUGAUCUUCGGAUUAAAGCUCCGGCGCUUUGGGAACGGCCUGCGGAUGAUUAGCUUGUUGGUGAGGUAAUGGCUCACCAAGGCGACGAUCAUUAGCUGGUCUGAGAGGAUGAUCAGCCAGACUGGGACUGAG
rnacentral:rRNA from 1 species